rnacentral:rRNA from 1 species
AGCCUGAUGCAGCGACGCCGCGUGAGGGAUGACGGCCUUCGGGUUGUAAACCUCUUUCAAUAGGGAAGAAGCGAAAGUGACGGUACCUGCAGAAGAAGCGCCGGCUAACUACGUGCCAGCAGCCGCGGUAAUACGUAGGGCGCAAGCGUUAUCCGGAAUUAUUGGGCGUAAAGAGCUCGUAGGCGGUUUGUCGCGUCUGCCGUGAAAGUCCGGGGCUCAACUCCGGAUCUGCGGUGGGUACGGGCAGACUAGAGUGAUGUAGGGGAGACUGGAAUUCCUGGUGUAGCGGUGAAAUGCGCAGAUAUCAGGAGGAACACCGAUGGCGAAGGCAGGUCUCUGGGCAUUAACUGACGCUGAGGAGCGAAAGCAUGGGGAGCGAACAGGAUUAGAUACCCUGGUAGUCCAUGCCGUAAACGUUGGGCACUAGGUGUGGGGGACAUUCCACGUUUUCCGCGCCGUAGCUAACGCAUUAAGUGCCCCGCCUGGGGAGUACGGCCGCAAGGCUAAAACUCAAAUGAUUUG